UACGUAGGGUGCGAGCGUUGCCCGGAUUUAUUGGGCGUAAAGGGCGCGUAGGCGGAUGGCACAGUCAGAUGUGAAAUUCCCGGGCUUAACCUGGGGGCUGCAUUUGAUACGUGUGAUCUAGAGUGAGGAAGAGGGUCGUGGAAUUCCCAGUGUAGAGGUGUAAUUCGUAGAUAUUGGGAAGAACACCGGUGGCGAAGGCGGCGACCUGGUCCUUGACUGACGCUGAGGCGCGAAAGCGUGGGGAGCAAACAGG
rnacentral:rRNA from 1 species